AGCGAUCUGCGCAUGGGCGAAGCCUGACCGCAACGCCGCGUGCGGGAUGACGGCCUUCUGGUUGUAAAACUGUUUUUUAGGGAAAAAAAAAUGACGGUACCUGAUUACAGGCGCGGCUAACUAAUAAGCCCCGGCCGCGGUAAUGCCAGCCCCCGCGGUAAUACAAU
rnacentral:rRNA from 1 species